rnacentral:snRNA from 1 species
UUACUUACCUGGACGGGGUCAAUGGGCGAUCAUUAAGGCCUAUGGCCUAGACCUGUGGCCUCCAUUGCACUUGGGAGGUGCACCUGUCUAAGGUCUCCUCUUAGUAGGAGAGCCUACGUCAUAAUUUGUGGCAGUGGGGGCCUGCGUUCGCGCGGCCCCUGC